rnacentral:rRNA from 1 species
GACGAACGCUGGCGGCGUGCCUAAUACAUGCAAGUCGAACGCAUUUUCUUUCACCGUAGCUUGCUACACCGAAAGAAAAUGAGUGACGAACGGGUGAGUAACACGUGGGUAACCUGCCCAUCAGCGGGGGAUAACACUUGGAAACAGGUGCUAAUACCGCAUAAUUCCAUUUACCGCAUGGUAGAUGGGUGAAAGGCGCUUUUGCGUCACUGAUGGAUGGACCCGCGGUGCAUUAGCUAGUUGGUGGGGUAACGGCCUACCAAGGCUGCGAUGCAUAGCCGACCUGAGAGGGUGAUCGGCCACACUGGGACUGAGACACGGCCCAGACUCCUACGGGAGGCAGCAGUAGGGAAUCUUCGGCAAUGGACGCAAGUCUGACCGAGCAACACCGCGUGAGUGAAGAAGGUUUUCGGAUCGUAAAACUCUGUUGUUAGAGAAGAACAAGGAUGAGAGUGGAAAGUUCAUCCCUUGACGGUAUCUAACCAGAAAGCCACGGCUAACUACGUG